rnacentral:lncRNA from 1 species
UGGUGAUGGCAGGAACGCCCGUUUUAUCUUCUUUCGAAAAACAGAAGGUACAGUAGAGUCUCACUUAUCCAACAUAAACGGGCCAGCAGAACGUUGGAUAAGUGAAUAUGUUGGAUAAUAAGGAGAGAUUAAGGAGAAGCCUAUUAAACAUCAAAUUAGGUUAUGAUUUUACAAAUUAAGCACCAAAACAUCAUGUUAUACAACAAAUUUGACAGAAAAAGUAGUUCAAUACGCAGUAAUGUUAUGUUGUAAUUACUGUAUUUACGAAUUUAGCACCAAAAUAUCAUGAUAUAUUGAAAACAUUGACUACAAAAAUGCAUUGGAUAAUCCAGAAUGUUAGAUAAGCAAAUGUUGGAUAAGUGAGACUCUACUGUAUGUCUAGAACUGGAGUAGAAAGGUUCUUCAUUCCCAACCUGGACAAAAAUAAGGGAAAACAAUCGCGUGCCUUCAAGUUGCAUGUAGAUUUAUAGGGAAACCCAUGGAUUUCAAAGGCUGGGGCCGGGCUGUGGUGCAGGCUGGUGAGCAGCCAGCUGCAAUAAAUCACUCUGACCAAGAGGUCAUGAGUUCGAGUCCAGGGGGUGAGCACCCAACAAUUAAAAUAAAAAAUAGCCCCUGCUUGUUGUUGACGUAUGCAACCCGAAAGAUAGUUGCAUCUAUCAGGUAGGAAAUUUAGGUACCACUUAUAUGUGACACCAUAAAAAUGAUCCAGCCGCCAUUGGAAUGAGGAAGUUGUCAUUGCAGUGGAUGAUGAAGCAGCAGCUCCCCCUGUGGCCGGAAUCAAGCAUACCCUCAGGAAGCUGGAAGCUGGAGAAGGUUUAAAUUGCCUCUGUGUCUGUCUCUGUCUCUGUUCUAUGUUUAUAUGGCAUUGAAUGUUUGCCUUCUAUAUAUAUAAAAUGAUAAAGUUGUUUGCGCAGUGACUAUAACAACAAAACUAAACAUCCCAGAAAUACGAAAUUUGGCAACACAAUGCAAAAGGUUUGCCUCCAGGUUACAACAACACAACCACACCACAAAACCACAAUCCAGACCCACAAAACUCACAACAACGCAUCAUGUGAUAACAACACAACUAAACGCCCCAGAAAUACAAAACUUGGCAACACAAUGCAAAAGCCUUGCCUCCCAGUUGUAACAACACAACCACACCACAAAACCACACAGGAUCCACAAAACUCACAACAACGCAUCGUGACUAUAACAACACAACUAAACGCCCCAGAAAUACGAAACUUGGCAACACAACAACACAUCAUGACUAUAACAACACAACUAAACGCCCCAGAAAUACGAAACUUGGCAACACAACACAAAAGCAUUCCCUCCCGAUUGUAACAACACAACAACACCACAAAACCACAAUCCGUACCCACAAAACUCACAACAAUGCAUCGUGACUAUAACAACACAACUAAACGCCCCAGAAAUACAAAACUUGGCACACAACUAAGCACCCCAGAAAUACAAAACUUGGCAACACAACACAAAAGCCUUGCCUCUCAGUUGUAACAACACAACCACACCACAAAACCACAAUCCGGACCCACAAAACUCACAACAACGCAUUGUGACUAUAACAAAUACAAAAUUUGACAACACAACUCAUCCACCUCCCCAAUCCCUACAUUCAAACUUGGCCUCCAAAAAAACAAUUACAAUAAUAACAAUGACAACAACAACAACAAUAAGAAUCAACACCAUCACAGGCACAGGCAAGAAGCAGCCAGGCUCUGAGGCUGAGAGGCCAGUCAGUGCUACACUGGGCCUCCAAAAAACAAUACAGUAGCAUCUAACUUAUCCAACCUUCAUGACCACUACAACAACAAUAAUAAUAAACACCUACACAGGCAAAAAAAAAAGACUAUUGUACCACAAUAAAAAUAUAAACUGCACUCAGCAGAAUCAGACGUUACAACUAACAACAAACCAAAGACAACAGGGAUCUCAAACAAUUAUCAAUCAACACAAAAAUUGAAGAAGGUAACAGACUUCAAAUACUACUACUAAUGUGAGUAUAAAGAAGGGUGGAGGUCACAGCACAAAUACAACCUAAUGUAGACUGACCAACACCACCAGACUAAGCCACAGCAACGCGUGGCCGGGCACAGCUAGUAUAUGUAUAUAAUGUUAUCUGCCCUGAGUCCCCUUCGGGGUGAGACAGGCAGAAUAUAAAUAACUGAAAUAAAUAAAUAAAUUUUAUUCGGCAAGAACAUCUCACAUUUGCACUCCUUCUUUGGAAGUUAAGACUAGAUGGUCAUCUGUUGGGAGGGCUUGGAUUUCAGAAGACCCUUAAGAUCUCUUCCAAGUCUAGGAUUCUAUAUAUCAUUAUUCAGUGAAAUAUACUGGUCCUGGCACUCCAAUGAGUCUAAACACCAAGAAAGAACUUGGGUUGGCCAGUUUGGUUUCAAUCGCUCAGCUUUGGCACCGACUCUUGAUAUUUUGGUCCUCUAGAAGUUUGGAUUUUGAGUUUUGACCAUUGGCCAAAGUUCUGAAAUCCAAAAUAUCUCCAGAAUCUAAGCCAGGAAGUCG